UACGGGGGGGGCAAGCGUUGUUCGGAAUUACUGGGCGUAAGGCUCGUAGGCGGCCAACUAAGUCAGACGUGAAAUCCCUCGGCUUAACCGGGGAACUGCGUCUGAUACUGGAUGGCUUGAGAUUGGGAGAGGGAUGCGGAAUUCCAGGUGUAGCGGUGAAAUUCGUAGAUAUUGGGAAGAACACCGGUGGCGAAGGCGGCGACCUGGUCCGAGACUGACGCUGAGCGC
rnacentral:rRNA from 1 species